AGCAGCCGCGGUAAUUCCAGCUCCAAUAGCGUAUAUUAAAGUUGUUGCAGUUAAAAAAGCUCGUAGUUGAAUUUCGGGAUCAAUACGUCGGUCGUGCUUUUUUGGUACGCACUGGCGUCAUUGGUUUCUCCUUUCUGACGAACCAUGAUGUCAUUAAUUUGGUGUUAUGGGGAGUUAGGACUGUUACUUUGAAAAAAUUAGAGUGUUUAAAGCAGGCAUUAGCUUGAAUACAUUAGCAUGGAAUAAUGAAAUAGGACGUUCGAUCCUAUUUUGUUGGUUUCUAGGAUCAACGUAAUGAUUAAUAGGGAUAGUUGGGGGCAUUAGUAUUCAAUUGUCAGAGGUGAAAUUCUUGGAUUUAUUGAAGACUAACUACUGCGAAAGCAUUUGCCAAGGAUGUUUUCAUUAAUCAAGAACGAAAGUUAAGGGAUCGAAGACGAUCAGAUACCGUCGUAGUCUUAACCAUAAACUAUGCCGACUAGGGAUCGGAUGAUGUUAAUUUUUUAAUGUACUCAUUCGGCGC
rnacentral:rRNA from 1 species